UACCUUCAUCAUAGGCCCACUUUAUAGAACCUACAAAUUGAUUUGUUAUGAAAUGAAGAGAUGCGAGACAACUAUCCUAAAGAGACCAAAUGAAGUUGCAUGUUACUGUAUGGACUUCAACAAUGAGAAAAUCAACUUACAUUAAAAUUUUGCAAUAUUCUGAAUUAGAAUGACUUUGAUAAUACCUCUAACCUUUAAUAUCCGAUAUUUUUAUUAUCUAGAGCUCUGUAAAAAAAUAUAAAAAAAAAAUAUAUAAAAUGAAAAUACCCAAAAAUUAUAUAAAAACAAAAUUGUUUGUAAACAGAGUUCUAGAUAAUAAACAUUGAGGGUGGUGUAAAAGGUGGGAUUAUUGUAAUAUUUUUUAUGACCCCCGCCUUAAAGUCUUCUAAAGUUAUCAUUUUUAAAACAAACAAAAAUUGGAAUGGCAAUUUAAAAAGUAUAUAGUUCCUAUGUGUAGGGACAGUGCCACUCUGCAUGUUAAAGAACCCUUGCCACAAGUCUUUGAGGGGUCAGUAGGUGGCCUGUUGCAAGGCUUAAUUUCUGUCCAACAUAUCCUCCUCUCAGUUGGCAGUCAAAAUUUCCCUUACCUUCAUCAUAGGCCCACUUUAUAGAACCUACAAAUUGAUUUGUUAUGAAAUGAAGAGAUGCGAGACAUUACUAUCCUACAGAGACCAAAUGAUGUUGAUGUAAAAUAGGUUACUGUAUGGACUUCAACAAUGAGAAAAUCAUCCAACAUUAAAAUUUUGCAAUAUUCUGAAUUAGAAUGACUUUGUUAAUACCUCUAACCUUUAACAUCCGAUAUUUUUAUUAUCUAGAGCUCUGUAAAAAAAAUAUAAAAAAUGAAAAUACCAAAAAAUAAUAUGAAAACAAAAUUGUUUGUAAACAGAGUUCUAGAUAAUAAACAUUGAGGGUGGUGUAAAAGGUGGGAUUAUUGUAAUAUUUUUUAUGACCCCCGCCUUAAAGUCUUCUAAAGUUAUCAUUUUUAAAACAAACAAAAAUUGGAAUGGCAAUUUAAAAAGUAUAUAGUUCCUAUGUGUAGGGACAGUGCCACUCUGCACGUUAAAGAACCCUUGCCACAAGUCUUUGAGGGGUCAGUAGGUGGUCUGUUGCAAGGCUUAAUUUCUGUCCAACAUAUCCUCCUCUCAGUUGGCAGUCAAAAUUUCCCUUACCUUCAUCAUAGGCCCACUUUAUAGAACCUACAAAUUGAUUUGUUAUGAAAUGAAGAGAUGCGAGACAACUAUCCUACGGAGACCAAAUGAAGUUGCAUGUUACUGUAUGGACUUCAACAAUGAGAAAAUCAACUAACAUUAAAAUUUUGCAAUAUUCUGAAUUAGAAUGACUUUGUUAAUACCUCUAACCUUUAACAUCCGAUAUUUUUAUUAUCUAGAGCUCUGUAAAAAAAAUAUUAAAAAAAUAUAUAAAAAAUGAAAAUACCAAAAAAUAAUAUGAUAACAAAAUUGUUUGUAAACAGAGUUCUAGAUAAUAAACAUUGAGGGUGGUGUAAAAGGUGGGAUUAUUGUAAUAUUUUUUAUGACCCCCGCUUUAAAGUCUUCUAAAGUUAUCAUGUUUAAAACAAACAAAAAUUGGAAUGGCAAUUUAAAAAGUAUAUAGUUCCUAUGUGUAGGGACAGUGCCACUCUGCACAUUAAAGAACCCUUGCCACAAGUCUUUGAGGGGUCAGUAGGUGGCCUGUUGCAAGGCUUAAUUUCUGUCCCAACAUAUCCUCCUCUCAGUUGGCAGUCAAAAUUUCCCUUACCUUCAUCAUUGGCCCACUUUAUAGAACCUACAAAUUGAUUUGUUAUGAAAUGAAGAGAUGUGAGACAACUAUCCUACAGAGACUAAAUGAAGUUGCAUGUUACUGUAUGGACUUCAACAAUGAGAAAAUCAACUAACAUUAAAAUUUUGCAAUAUUCUGAAUUAGAAUGACUUUAUUAAUACCUCUAACCUUUAACAUCUGAUAUUUUUAUUAUCUAGAGCUCUGUAAAAAAAAAUAUCAAAAAAAUAUCAAAAAAGAAAAUACCAAAAAAUAAUAUAUGAAAACAAAAUUGUUUGUAAACAGAGUUCUAGAUAAUAAACAUUGAGGGUGGUGUAAAAGGUGGGAUUAUUGUAAUAUUUUUUAUGACCCCCGCUUUAAAGUCUUCUAAAGUUAUCAUGUUUAAAACAAACAAAAAUUGGAAUGGCAAUUUAAAAAGUAUAGUUCCUAUGUGUAGGGACAGUGCCACUCUGCACGUUAAAGAACCCUUGCCACAAGUCUUUGAGGGGUCAGUAGGUGGCCUGUUGCAAGGCUUAAUUUCUGCCCAACAUGUCCUCUCAGUUGGCAGUCAAAAUUUCCCUUACCUUCGUCAUCGGCCCACUUUAUAGAACCUACAAAUUGAUUUGUUAUGAAAAGAAGAGAUGCGAAACAACUAUCCUACAGAGACCAAAUGAAGUUGCAUGUUACUGUAUGGACUUCAACAAUGAGAAAAUCAACUAACAUUAAAAUUUUGCAAUAUUCUGAAUUAGAAUGACUUUGUUAAUACCUCUAACCUUUAACAUCUGAUAUUUUUAUUAUCUAGAGCUCUGUUAAAAAAAUAUAUAAAAAAUGAAAAUACCAAAAAAUAAUAUGAAAACAAAAUUGUUUGUAAACAGAGUUCUAGAUAAUAAACAUUGAGGGUGGUGUAAAAGGUGGGAUUAUUGUAAUAUUUUUUAUGACCCCCGUUUUAAAGUCUUCUAAAGUUAUCAUGUUUAAAACAAAUAAAAAUUGGAAUGGCAAUUUAAAAAGUAUAGUUCCUAUGUGUAGGGACAGUGCCACUCUGCACGUUAAAGAACCCUUGCCACAAGUCUUUGAGGGGUCAGUAGGUGGCCUGUUGCAAGGCUUAAUUUCUGUCCAACAUAUCCUCCUCUCAGUUGGCAGUAAAAAUUUCCCUUACCUUCGUCAUCGGCCCACUUUAUAGAACCUACAAAUUGAUUUGUUAUGAAAUGAAGAGAUGCGAGACAACUAUCCUACAGAGACCAAAUGAAGUUGCAUGUUACUGUAUGGACUUCAACAAUGAGAAAAUCAACUAACAUUAAAAUUUUGCAAUAUUCUGAUUUAGAAUGACUUUGCCUCUAACCUUUAAAAUCUGAUAUUUUUAUUAUUUAGAGCUCUGUAAAAAAAUAUGAAUAAAAAAAAAAAUACCAAAAAAUAUGAAAACAAAAUCGUUUGUAAACAGAGUUCUAGAUAAUAAACAUUGAGGAUGUUGUAAAAAGUAGGCAUAUUUAAAAUUUUGUUUAUUAUUAUGAAUAGUGCACUGUAUAAUUUAUAAAAAUGUGUAUUGUGAAGUCUUGGAAAAUUGUGAAACUUUAGAACUGUGUUUAUUUGAGAAGUCUAUAUUCAGUCUUCAAUGAUUGUCAUGGCAAUUGAGGACAAUAAAAUAUAGCUCUGUGUAGAAACUGACUUUUUUAUAUCAAGAAAGAUCCAACAAAAGUUUUCAAUGAUAUCUAAAGAGACAAAAGACAGAAAUACUAAAAGGUUUUCUAUGAGAUUGGUGGAUUAUGUACAGUCAGACAACUGGCACACUCAAGCUAAAAGUUAAAUAGCUAUUAAAAUAAAAUUAUGGACUUGUAUAAUAACAUUAAUGAAGACAGAUGUUCUAAAGUGAAGACAUGUUCCUUCAUAAUGUUCUAUAGUGAAGACAUGUUCCUACAUAAUGUUCCAUAGUGAAGACAUGUUCCUACAUAAUGUUCCAUAGUGAAGACAUGUUCAUACAUAUUGUUCUAUAGUGAAGACAUGUUCCUACAUAAUGUUCCAUAGUGAAGACAUGUUCAUACAUAUUGUUCUAUAGUGAAGACAUGUUCCUACAUAAUGUCUUAUAGUGAAGACAUAUUCCUACAUAUUGUUCUAUAGUGAAGACAUGUUCCUACAUAAUGUCUUAUAGUGAAGACAUAUUCCUACAUAUUGUUCUAUAGUGAAGACAUGUUCCUACAUAAUGUCUUAUAGUGCAGACAUGUUCCUACAUAAUGUUCUAUAGUGAAGACAGAUGUUCUAAUAGCACAAACAGAUGUUCCUAAGUUGCAAUGAAGUGUUCAGAAGACAGACAGAGUUUCCUUUUGCAAUGAAAUUAUCCAGAACACAUAGUUGAUUAGAUUUCCAGUUCAUUACAUAUUCUGACAUUUUCUCAAGAAAAACACAAGAUUUCAAUGUUCAACCUGAAAGGAGAAAUUCUUAAAAUUUAUGCUGGACAUCUCAUAUCAAGGAUCCAUCACAAUAUUGAUAUUAGACUUAUGAAGAAUAUUCUGAUAAAUUAAUGAUGUACGACAAAUCGUGCUACAAGUAUCAUACCAGCAGAAUUAUUUGAUGGGAGUAAAACAUAGGAGCAGGAUCUCACCUCAUACAAGUGAGGAGGAACAGUUGAACUGAUGAACUUUGAACUGAUGAACUUGGAAACAUCUGAAAGGUAAUAAUACAUAAGAAAAACAGACCACCUAGAAUAAGAAAAGAGAAAGAGUUAACUCGUAGAGUAAAGGGUAAAAACAGACCACAUAGAAUAAGGAAAGAGAAAGAUUAACUCAUAGAGUAAAGGGUAGACGAAACUAUCAACACUUUGAAAUAAACAAGAGCAAUAAUCGACAUAACAGCUGCUUCAUCACCAUCUCAGAGGUUAGGUCUCUAACUGACUCAACUGAUGAACUUAUAACAAGCUUAACAGAUCAUCAGCAUAGUUGAACAAUGAACACUUCAGAGACAAAAUAUUCUUGGCAAUGAAAAUAUAUGACUGAAAUUUCAUAAUUGUAUAUGGUCAGUGGGAGAGAGAGAAAGAUGUAGAAUGGUCAGAGUGGGAGAGGGAGAAUACUUAUGAUGAUGAGUGGGGAGAAAUAAAGAACAAUUAUUGCAACUGAUAAAUUUGUCUUCAACCAAACUCAUGGCUUGUGUUGAUGUGUCUAACCUUAGACAUCUGAUAUUUUUAUUAUCUAGAGCUCUGUUUAAAAAAAAAAUGUAAAAAAUAAUAUGAAAACAAAUUUUAAACAGUUCUAGAUAAUAAACAUUAAGGGUGGUGUAAAAAGUGGGCAUAUUUUAAAUUUUCUUUUUUACACCAAUGUAUUUAUGAAAUUUAAAACUUUAAAGUCAGAAUGUUUAAUUGGACGUACAAUUGUUUUGAUUUUAGAUAUUUGGAGACAAAACCUAUUCUUCUCCAUUUAUUACACUCUAAAAGUGUCAUUAAUUUGCAAUAUUCUUAUUUUGAUUGUCUUUGCUUAUACCUCUAACCUUAGACAUCCAAUAUUUUUAUUAUCUAGAGCUCUGUAAAAAAAAAUGACAAAAUUGUAAAUAGAGUUCUAGAUAAUAAACAUUAAGGGUGGUGUAAAAAGUGGUUAUAUUUUUUAUAUUUUGAAUUCUCUCCCUCCCCAAUAUAUUUACGAAAUUAAAUACAAGAGAUAUUUAUUGGUAAAUGAUUUGUGUUGGAUAAGUUUUAUCCUUUCAUUAGUGUAUUUUAAAAAAUGUUUUUUUCAAGCUGUACAUUUUUCUUGGGUAUUGAAAAUGGCUUUGAAGUUAAUAUGUUUAAUUGGAAGCAGAAUUUUUUUAUUAUUAGAUAUUGGAGACAAAACCUAUCUUCUCUGUAUAUUUCACCUUAACAGUGUCUUAGAUUUGCAAUGUCUUUGCUUAUACCUCUAACCUUAGACAUCCAAUAUUUUUAUUAUCUAGAGCUCUGUAAAAAAAAAAAAAAAAAAAAAAUAAUAUGAAAACAAAAUUGCAGAGUUCUAGAUAAUAAACAUUAAGGGUGGUGUAAAAAGUGGGUAUAUUUUGAAUUGUUAAAUGCCCUUAAAGUUUGAAUGUUUAAAUGGAAGUAGAAUUCUUUCAAUUUUAGAUGUUUUGAGAUAAAACCUAUCAUCUCGGUAUAUAUUUAUACUGUGUAUAACAGUGUCUUAAAUUCUGCAAUAUUGUGAUUUUGAAUGUCUUUGUUAACUCUAACUUUUAACAUUUGAAUUCCAUUCAGUAUUAAAAUAAUAUGUGAUGCAAA